ensembl:miRNA
GUAAUUCUGGGUUUUGCCAUUGAAAGUAAUGGCAAAAACCACAGUUACUUUUGCACCAACCUAAUA